GGGAGGCAGCAGUGAGGAAUAUUGGUCAAUGGGCGCGAGCCUGAACCAGCCAAGUCGCGUGAGGGAAGACGGUCCUAUGGAUUGUAAACCUCUUUUGUCGGGGAGCAAAAGACGCCACGCGUGGCGUUCCGAGAGUACCCGAAGAAAAAGCAUCGGCUAACUCCGUGCCAGCAGCCGCGGUAAUACGGAGGAUGCGAGCGUUAUCCGGAUUUAUUGGGUUUAAAGGGUGCGCAGGCGGAAGAUCAAGUCAGCGGUAAAAUUGAGAGGCUCAACCUCUUCGAGCCGUUGAAACUGGUUUUCUUGAGUGAGCGAGAAGUAUGCGGAAUGCGUGGUGUAGCGGUGAAAUGCAUAGAUAUCACGCAGAACUCCGAUUGCGAAGGCAGCAUACCGGCGCUCAACUGACGCUCAUGCACGAAAGUGUGGGUAUCGAACAGGAUUAGAUACCCUGGUAGUCCACACAGUAAACGAUGAAUACUAAUUGUUCGGGGAGAAUG
rnacentral:rRNA from 1 species